rnacentral:tRNA from 1 species
UCCCUGGUGGUCCAGUGGCUAAGACUCUGUGCUCCCAACGCAGAAGGCCCAGGUUCAAUCCUUGGUAAGGGAG